rnacentral:rRNA from 1 species
GGGUUGUGAGGUUAAGCGACUAAGCGUACACGGUGGAUGCCCUGGCAGUCAGAGGCGAUGAAGGACGUGCUAAUCUGCGAUAAGCGUCGGUAAGGUGAUAUGAACCGUUAUAACCGGCGAUUUCCGAAUGGGGAAACCCAGUGUGAUUCGUCACACUAUCAUUAACUGAAUCCAUAGGUUAAUGAGGCGAACCGGGGGAACUGAAACAUCUAAGUACCCCGAGGAAAAGAAAUCAACCGAGAUUCCCCCAGUAGCGGCGAGCGAACGGGGAGCAGCCCAGAGCCUGAAUCAGUGUGUGUGUUAGUGGAAGCGUCUGGAAAGGCGCGCGAUACAGGGUGACAGCCCCGUACACAAAAAUGCACAUGCUGUGAGCUCGAUGAGUAGGGCGGGACACGUGGUAUCCUGUCUGAAUAUGGGGGGACCAUCCUCCAAGGCUAAAUACUCCUGACUGACCGAUAGUGAACCAGUACCGUGAGGGAAAGGCGAAAAGAACCCCGGCGAGGGGAGUGAAAAAGAACCUGAAACCGUGUACGUACAAGCAGUGGGAGCACGCUUAGGCGUGUGACUGCGUACCUUUUGUAUAAUGGGUCAGCGACUUAUAUUCUGUAGCAAGGUUAACCGAAUAGGGGAGCCGAAGGGAAACCGAGUCUUAACUGGGCGUUAAGUUGCAGGGUAUAGACCCGAAACCCGGUGAUCUAGCCAUGGGCAGGUUGAAGGUUGGGUAACACUAACUGGAGGACCGAACCGACUAAUGUUGAAAAAUUAGCGGAUGACUUGUGGCUGGGGGUGAAAGGCCAAUCAAACCGGGAGAUAGCUGGUUCUCCCCGAAAGCUAUUUAGGUAGCGCCUCGUGAAUUCAUCUCCGGGGGUAGAGCACUGUUUCGGCAAGGGGGUCAUCCCGACUUACCAACCCGAUGCAAACUGCGAAUACCGGAGAAUGUUAUCACGGGAGACACACGGCGGGUGCUAACGUCCGUCGUGAAGAGGGAAACAACCCAGACCGCCAGCUAAGGUCCCAAAGUCAUGGUUAAGUGGGAAACGAUGUGGGAAGGCCCAGACAGCCAGGAUGUUGGCUUAGAAGCAGCCAUCAUUUAAAGAAAGCGUAAUAGCUCACUGGUCGAGUCGGCCUGCGCGGAAGAUGUAACGGGGCUAAACCAUGCACCGAAGCUGCGGCAGCGACGCUUAUGCGUUGUUGGGUAGGGGAGCGUUCUGUAAGCCUGUGAAGGUGUACUGUGAGGUAUGCUGGAGGUAUCAGAAGUGCGAAUGCUGACAUAAGUAACGAUAAAGCGGGUGAAAAGCCCGCUCGCCGGAAGACCAAGGGUUCCUGUCCAACGUUAAUCGGGGCAGGGUGAGUCGACCCCUAAGGCGAGGCCGAAAGGCGUAGUCGAUGGGAAACAGGUUAAUAUUCCUGUACUUGGUGUUACUGCGAAGGGGGGACGGAGAAGGCUAUGUUGGCCGGGCGACGGUUGUCCCGGUUUAAGCGUGUAGGCUGGUUUUCCAGGCAAAUCCGGAAAAUCAAGGCUGAGGCGUGAUGACGAGGCACUACGGUGCUGAAGCAACAAAUGCCCUGCUUCCAGGAAAAGCCUCUAAGCAUCAGGUAACAUCAAAUCGUACCCCAAACCGACACAGGUGGUCAGGUAGAGAAUACCAAGGCGCUUGAGAGAACUCGGGUGAAGGAACUAGGCAAAAUGGUGCCGUAACUUCGGGAGAAGGCACGCUGAUAUGUAGGUGAAGUCCCUCGCGGAUGGAGCUGAAAUCAGUCGAAGAUACCAGCUGGCUGCAACUGUUUAUUAAAAACACAGCACUGUGCAAACACGAAAGUGGACGUAUACGGUGUGACGCCUGCCCGGUGCCGGAAGGUUAAUUGAUGGGGUCAGCGCAAGCGAAGCUCUUGAUCGAAGCCCCGGUAAACGGCGGCCGUAACUAUAACGGUCCUAAGGUAGCGAAAUUCCUUGUCGGGUAAGUUCCGACCUGCACGAAUGGCGUAAUGAUGGCCAGGCUGUCUCCACCCGAGACUCAGUGAAAUUGAACUCGCUGUGAAGAUGCAGUGUACCCGCGGCAAGACGGAAAGACCCCGUGAACCUUUACUAUAGCUUGACACUGAACAUUGAGCCUUGAUGUGUAGGAUAGGUGGGAGGCUUUGAAGUGUGGACGCCAGUCUGCAUGGAGCCGACCUUGAAAUACCACCCUUUAAUGUUUGAUGUUCUAACGUUGACCCGUAAUCCGGGUUGCGGACAGUGUCUGGUGGGUAGUUUGACUGGGGCGGUCUCCUCCUAAAGAGUAACGGAGGAGCACGAAGGUUGGCUAAUCCUGGUCGGACAUCAGGAGGUUAGUGCAAUGGCAUAAGCCAGCUUGACUGCGAGCGUGACGGCGCGAGCAGGUGCGAAAGCAGGUCAUAGUGAUCCGGUGGUUCUGAAUGGAAGGGCCAUCGCUCAACGGAUAAAAGGUACUCCGGGGAUAACAGGCUGAUACCGCCCAAGAGUUCAUAUCGACGGCGGUGUUUGGCACCUCGAUGUCGGCUCAUCACAUCCUGGGGCUGAAGUAGGUCCCAAGGGUAUGGCUGUUCGCCAUUUAAAGUGGUACGCGAGCUGGGUUUAGAACGUCGUGAGACAGUUCGGUCCCUAUCUGCCGUGGGCGCUGGAGAACUGAGGGGGGCUGCUCCUAGUACGAGAGGACCGGAGUGGACGCAUCACUGGUGUUCGGGUUGUCAUGCCAAUGGCACUGCCCGGUAGCUAAAUGCGGAAGAGAUAAGUGCUGAAAGCAUCUAAGCACGAAACUUGCCCCGAGAUGAGUUCUCCCUGACUCCUUGAGAGUCCUGAAGGAACGUUGAAGACGACGACGUUGAUAGGCCGGGUGUGUAAGCGCAGCGAUGCGUUGAGCUAACCGGUACUAAUGAACCGUGAGGCUUAACCUUACAACGCCGAAGCUGUU